AGGUCAGGAUGGGCAGCAAUGCGUGACUAGAUCCUGUAUUGCACUCGUCCCGGCCUUA
rnacentral:pre_miRNA from 1 species